rnacentral:rRNA from 1 species
AGAGUUUGAUCCUGGCUCAGGACGAACGCUGGCGGUGUGCUUCACACAUGCAAGUCGAACGGAGUAGCAAUACUCAGUGGCGGACGGGUGAGUAACACGUGGGAAUCUACCAUUAGGUGGGGAAUAACAGGCCGAAAGGACUGCUAAUGCCGCAUAUGUAGGCAUCUCGACAGAGAUGUUUAUGAAAGGAGUAAUCCGCCUUUUGAUGAGCCCGCGUCCGAUUAGCUAGUUGGUAGGGUAAAAGCCUACCAAGGCGACGAUCGGUAGGUGGUCUGAGAGGAUGAUCACCCACAAUGGGACUGAGACACGGCCCAUACUCCUACGGGAGGCAGCAGUGGGGAAUUUUACGCAAUGGGGGAAACCCUGACGUAGCGACACCGCGUGAGCGAAGAAGCCCUUUGGGGUGUAAAGCUCUGUCAACAGGAACGAAACAAAUGACGGUACCUGUGGAGGAAGCAUCGGCUAACUACGUGCCAGCAGCCGCGGUAAGACGUAGGAUGCAAGCGUUGUCCGGAUUUAUUGGGCGUAAAGAGUUCGUAGGCGGUUUGUUAAGUCUGAUGUUAAAGACCGGGGCUCAACCUCGGAAAUGCAUUGGAUACUGGCAGACUGGAGUGCAGUAGAGGCUAGUGGAAUUCCCAGUGUAGCGGUGAAAUGCGUAG